GAUGAACGCUGGCGGCGUGCCUAAUACAUGCAAGUCGAGCGAACGGACGAGAAGCUUGCUUCUCUGAUGUUAGCGGCGGACGGGUGAGUAACACGUGGAUAACCUACCUAUAAGACUGGGAUAACUUCGGGAAACCGGAGCUAAUACCGGAUAAUAUUUUGAACCGCAUGGUUCAAAAGUGAAAGACGGUCUUGCUGUCACUUAUAGAUGGAUCCGCGCUGCAUUAGCUAGUUGGUAAGGUAACGGCUUACCAAGGCAACGAUGCAUAGCCGACCUGAGAGGGUGAUCGGCCACACUGGAGAUGAGACGCGGUCCAGACUCCUACGGGAGGCAGCAGUGGGAAUCUUCCGCAAUGGGCGAAAGCCUGACGUAGCAACGCCGCGUGAGUGAUGAAGGUCUUCGGAUCGUAAAACUCUGUUAUUAGGGAAGAACAUAUGUGUAAGUAACUGUGCACAUCUUGACGGUACCUAAUCAGAAAGCCACGGCUAACUACGUG
rnacentral:rRNA from 1 species